rnacentral:rRNA from 1 species
UGGGGAAUAUUGGACAAUGGGCGAAAGCCUGAUCCAGCAAUGCCGCGUGUGUGAAGAAGGUCUUCGGAUUGUAAAGCACUUUCGACGGGGACGAUGAUGACGGUACCCGUAGAAGAAGCCCCGGCUAACUUCGUGCCG